UGGGGAAUAUUGGGCAAUGGGCGAAAGCCUUACCCAGCAACGCCGCGUGAGGGAAGAAGGCUUUCGGGUUGUAAACUUCUUUUCUCAGGGACGAACAGAUGACGGUACCUGAGGAAUAAGCCACGGCUAACUACGUGCCAGCAGCCGCGGUAAUACGUAGGUGGCAAGCGUUAUCCGGAUUUACUGGGUGUAAAGGGCGUGUAGGCGGGAAAGCAAGUCAGAUGUGAAAACCAUGGGCUCAACCUGUGGCCUGCAUUUGAAACUGUUUUUCUUGAGUACUGGAGAGGCAGACGGAAUUCCUAGUGUAGCGGUGAAAUGCGUAGAUAUUAGGAGGAACACCAGUGGCGAAGGCGGUCUGCUGGACAGCAACUGACGCUGAGGCGCGAAAGCGUGGGGAGCAAACAGGAUUAGAUACCC
rnacentral:rRNA from 1 species